rnacentral:rRNA from 1 species
GUGUCAGCAGCCGCGGUAAUACGUAGGGUGCGAGCGUUGCCCGGAUUUAUUGGGCGUAAAGGGCGCGCAGGCGGCCACGCACGUCCGUUGUGAAAUCGCCCGGCUCAACUGGGCGGGGUCGGCGGAUACGGCGUGGCUGGAGCAAGCUAGGGGGUAGUGGAAUUCCCGGUGUAGUGGUGGAAUGCGUAGAUAUCGGGAGGAACACCAGUGGCGAAGGCGGCUACCUGGGGCUUUGCUGACGCUGAGGCGCGAAAGCGUGGGGAGCGAUCCGGAUUAGAUACCCGGGUAGUCCACGCCGUAAACGAUGCGGACUAGGUGUCGGGGGUAUCGACUCCUUCCGUGCCGCAGCUAACGCAUUAAGCGCCCCGCCUGGGGAGUACGGCCGCAAGGCUAAAAUUCAAAUGAAUUGACGG